rnacentral:rRNA from 1 species
UACAGAGGUCUCAAGCGUUGUUCGGAUUCAUUGGGCGUAAAGGGUGCGUAGGCGGCGCGGUAAGUCGGGGUGUGAAAUCUCGGAGCUUAACUCCGAAACUGCAUUCGAUACUGCCGUGCUUGAGGACUGGAGAGGAGACUGGAAUUUACGGUGUAGCGGUGAAAUGCGUAGAUAAUCGUAAGGAAGACCAGUGGCGAAGG